UCCGGUUGAUCCUGCCGGAGGUCACCGCUAUUGGAAUUCGAUUAAGCCAUGCGAGUCGAGAGCUUUCGGAGCUCGGCAUACGGCUCAGUAACACGCGAACAAUCUGCCCUUGGGCGGGGGAUAACCCCGGGAAACUGGGAACAAUACCCCAUAGGUCUUGGAUGCUGGAAUGCUUCAAGGUCAAAAGCGAUUCAGCGCCCAAGGAUGAGUUUGCGGCCUAUCAGGUUGUAGGGGGUGUAACGGACCCCCUAGCCUUUGACGGGUACGGGCCUUGGGAGAGGUUGCCCGGAGAUGGACUCUGAGACACGAGUCCAGGCCCUACGGGGCGCAGCAGGCGCGAAAACUUCACAAUGCGGGAAACCGCGAUGAGGGGAUUCCAAGUGCCUAUGCUUUGCAUAGGCUGUUCUUUUGUCUAAAAAACAAGAGAAGUAAGGGCCGGGUAAGACGGGUGCCAGCCGCCGCGGUAAUACCCGCGGCCCGAGUGGUGAUCAUUAUUAUUGAGCCUAAAGCGUCCGUAGCCGGUUUGCUAAAUCCUUGGGUAAAUCGGGCAGCUUAACUGUCCGAAUUCUGGGGAGACUGGCAGACUUGGGACCGGAGGAGGUCGGAGGUACUCCAGGGGUAGGGGUGAAAUCCUGUAAUCCUUGGAGGACCACCAGUGGCGAAGGCGUCCGACUAAGACGGAUCCGACGGUAAGGGACGAAGCCCUGGGUCGCGAACGGGAUUAGAUACCCCGGUAGUCCAGGGUGUAAACGCUGCAGGCUUGGUGUUGGGGAUCCUACGGGGGUGCCCAGCGCCGUAGCGAAGGUGUUAAGCCUGCCGCUUGGGGAGUACGAUCGCAAGAUUGAAACUUAAAGGAAUUGGCGGGGGAGCACAGCAACGGGUGGAGCGUGCGGUUCAAUUGGAUCAACGCCGGAAAACUCACCGGGGGCGACUGUUAUAUGAAGGCCAGUUUGAUGAGCUUGCCUGAUUUUCAGAGAGGUGGUGCAUGGCCGUCGUCAGUUCGUACCGUAAGGCGUUCUGUUAAGUCAGAUAACGAACGAGACCCUCACCUGUAUUUGCUAUUCUAUCCUCCGGGAUGGGAGCACUAUAUGGGGACCGCUGGUGCUAAAUCAGAGGAAGGAGAGGUCAACGGUAGGUCAGUAUGCCCCGAAUCUCCCGGGCUACACGCGCGCUACAAAGGAUGGGACAAUAAGUUUCGACAUCGAAAGGUGAAGGUAAUCUCUACACCCAUUCAUAGUCCGGAUUGAGGGCUGUAACUCGCCCUCAUGAAGCUGGAAUCCGUAGUAAUCGCGGAUCAACAUUCCGCGGUGAAUGUGCCCCUGCUCCUUGCACACACCGCCCGUCAAACCACCCGAGUUGGGUCUGGAUGAGGAUUCCUCCCUGUUGGGGAGUUCGAAUCUGGGUUCAGCAAGGAGGGUUAAGUCGUAACAAGGUA
rnacentral:rRNA from 1 species